GACGAACGCUGGCGGCGUGCUUAACACAUGCAAGUCGAACGGAAAGGCCCUGCUUUUGUGGGGUGCUCGAGUGGCGAACGGGUGAGUAACACGUGAGUAACCUGCCCUUGACUUUGGGAUAACUUCAGGAAACUGGGGCUAAUACCGGAUAGGAGCUCCUGCUGCAUGGUGGGGGUUGGAAAGUUUCGGCGGUUGGGGAUGGACUCGCGGCUUAUCAGCUUGUUGGUGGGGUAGUGGCUUACCAAGGCUUUGACGGGUAGCCGGCCUGAGAGGGUGACCGGCGACCUGGUGAGGGGCGAGUGGCCACGCGAGCGGGGACGGCAGGCGGGGGGCCGUAGUGAACGGGGGGCGGAGGCCGGAUGGCGGCAGCAGGGGGGCGGGUGGACGCGCGUGGGGUGGCACUCCGGUUCCCCCUGUGCGGAGGCGUGGGUGACGGGAAGGGGAACAGAACCACCCGCUACCAACGGGCCCGCAGCGGCGGUAAUACUCGGAAGACAACACGCCUUAUC
rnacentral:rRNA from 1 species